GGAGCCGUGUUGGAGUGGUCUAUCAAGCAUCUUUGCUAAAGAUGUAGGGGCUAAACCCCCUCGCGAGUUCGAAUCUCGCCGGCUCCG
rnacentral:tRNA from 1 species